UCUUCCCAUUCCGAACAGAGCAGUUAAGCCUCUCAGCGCCGAUGGUACUUGGCCCUCGCGGGCCUGGGAGAGUAGGUCGCCGCCGGUU
rnacentral:rRNA from 1 species